GUGACCUGCGGAAGGAUCAUUAAAGUUAUAGUCCCCUGGCCCUCUGGGCUGGGGUCUUCUAUACCACCCUUUGUUUAUUACACCUUUGUUGCUUUGGCAGGCCUGCCCUCGGGCUGCUGGCUCCGGCCGGCUCGCGUCUGCCAGAGGACCUAAACUCUGUUUGUAUAUGAAGUCUGAGUACUAUAUAAUAGUUAAAACUUUCAACAACGGAUCUCUUGGUUCUGGCAUCGAUGAAGAACGCAGCGAAAUGCGAUAAGUAAUGUGAAUUGCAGAAUUCAGUGAAUCAUCGAAUCUUUGAACGCACAUUGCGCCCCCUGGUAUUCCGGGGGGCAUGCCUGUUCGAGCGUCAUUACAACCCUCAAGCUCUGCUUGGUGUUGGGCCCCGCCGCCCCGGCGGGCCCUAAAAUCAGUGGCGGUGCCGUCCGGCUCCGAGCGUAGUAAUUCUUCUCGCUCUGGAGGUCCGGGUGUGUGCUCGCCAGCAACCCCCAAUUUUUUUCAGGUUGACCUCGGAUCAGGUAGGGAUACCCGCUGAACUUAAGCAUAUCAAUAAGCGGAGGAAAAGAAACCAACAGGGAUUACCUCAGUAACGGCGAGUGAAGCGGUAACAGCUCAAAUUUGAAAUCUGGCCUCACGGUCCGAGUUGUAAUUUGUAGAGGAUGCUUCGAGCAUGGUCUGGCCUAAGUUCCUUGGAACAGGACGUCAUAGAGGGUGAGAAUCCCGUAUGCGGUCAGUGCCUACGCUCAUGUGAAGCUCCUUCGACGAGUCGAGUUGUUUGGGAAUGCAGCUCAAAUGGGUGGUAAAUUUC
rnacentral:rRNA from 1 species